rnacentral:snRNA from 1 species
UUGCUUCAGCAGCACCUAUACUAAAAUUAGAAUGAUACAGAAGAUAAGCAUGGCCCCUACCCAAGGAUGAUGUGAAUUUGUGAAGUGUUCUAUAUUAAA